CACAGGACAGUUACAGCCUGGGGCAGCAACAGUGCAGGCUUCCCCUUUCUGCCCCACCAGUAUGCUCCAAUCAUUUUUUGAAGGGACCAUCUCUAGA
rnacentral:sRNA from 1 species